CCCUGAACUCAGAGAUCCCAAUG
rnacentral:piRNA from 1 species